rnacentral:rRNA from 1 species
UACGUAGGGUGCGAGCGUUAAUCGGAAUUACUGGGCGUAAAGCGUGCGCAGGCGGUUUUGCAAGCCGGAUGUGAAAUCCCCCGGGCUCAACCUGGGAAUGGCAUUUGGGACUGCAAGGCUCGAGUGCGGCAGAGGAGACUGGAAUUCCUGGUGUAGCAGUGAAAUGCGUAGAUAUCAGGAGGAAUACCGAUGGCGAAGGCAGGUCUCUGGGCUGACACUGACGCUCAUGCACGAAAGCGUGGGGAGCAAACAGG